AACCAAGCGAGGAGAUUCCUAAUCUAGAAGCGUGUUUCAACUUAUGUCCUUUUCCUGAGAUAUUAGCAAGAAGAAAUGAUGAUACUAUAUUCAUUGACAUUAUUGGUGAGAUUGUUGGGAUGAAUGAAGUUAAGAGUAUCACUACUGCUGAAGGUCCAACAAAGUUGCUUAAUCUUCAGCUUAAAGAUCUUGGGGAUUCACUUAUUGAUGUUGCCUUAUGGGGUAAACUUGCAGAAGAUGUCUACUCUAAUAUUAAAUCCCAACCAUCAGGUCCUGUUGUUUUUCUUGGAAGUUUGAUGAAGACUUUGCUAUAUCAAGGUAAAGGCACAGUUGAAAGCUCAAAAUUUACAACAAAAGCUUAUAUCAAUUCUCCACUACCAGAGAUUCUUCAGUUUCAAGAAGCGUUGUGCAACGAAGAACCAAGAUUAGCUAUUACUGAAAUAAUAUCUUCAAAGUCGGCUCAUAUUUCCAAACAGUCAUUUCACUUAUCUAAAAGAAAAACAAUCAUCGAACUCAUGGAAACUAACCAAGUGAUGACCUGCAAUAUACUUGCAUCAAUUUCUCUGGAGCCAAAAAGCUUGGUUUUACAUCGGUUGCACGCUUUGCUUUACUAAAGCAAAACAAUAUUUUAACCCUGAAACUGAAGAAAUAGAAUUUGAUAAGUAUUCUUGUGAGAAAUGCGGUAAACAGAUAACCACGACACAACCCAGGUUUAAAUUGUUUGUCAAAGCAACAGAUAACACAGGUAGUGCUUCGUUGAUUUUAUUCAACGACGUGGUCAUUCCACUCAUAAAAAAAUCAGCAUAUGAAUUGCUUGAGCAACAAGUUCUGUUUAAUCGUUCCGGUGAAACACCUCAAGAACUGCUUGAUCUAGACGGUCGUAAUUAUGUUUUCAAAAUCAUGGUUAAAGAUGAGGCAAAGUAUAACCAAUCUUCUACAUACAAAGUUAUAAGUCUUACUGAUGUUCCCGAUGUUAUUCAAAGUUUCUCUGAAAGUGCUUCUACUUUGAAUGCUAUUGAACAAGAAAUAAUCACUGUCUCUGGAAAUUCAGUGGGGACUUCAAUCGGGACCUCAACUCAGGCUGAAAUUAACUUUGUUGAUGUGGAAAAAUUAGACAACAAUGAAGACAACGCUUAUAACGUUUCCACUCCAAAGCCUACAGCUAAAAGAUCCUUGGCAACAUCUAAAGAUGUUCAACAAUCAUCAACGAAGCCUAAGCUAAUGUCCAAGGCUCAGAUUAAGAAGGAAAAUAAAUGAUUGUACUUAAAACUGUCGUCUCUCUUAUUUUACUAUGUUAGGACUUAGGAUUUAGGAUUCUCACUUUUUCUUAGGACUUAGGAUUUCAGAUGUUAUUAUUAUUGCUUCUCGGAUUUCUUACCAAAUAGCUUUGCCGAAAUCGAAACAGCUUCUAGAUGA